UCCGGUUUAUCACCGGCAGUCACCUUAGAGUGCCCAACUGAAUGCUGGCAACUAAGAUCAAGGGUUGCGCUCGUUGCGGGACUUAACCCAACAUCUCACGACACGAGCUGACGACAACCAUGCACCACCUGUCACCCAUGUCCCCGAAGGGAAAUCCCUAUCUCUAGGAGUGUCAGAGGAUGUCAAGACCUGGUAAGGUUCUUCGCGUUGCUUCGAAUUAAACCACAUGCUCCACCGCUUGUGCGGGUCCCCGUCAAUUCCUUUGAGUUUUAACCUUGCGGCCGUACUCCCCAGGCGGUCAACUUAGUGCGUUAGCUGCGCCACUAAGGAUUCAAGAUCCCCAACGGCUAGUUGACAUCGUUUACGGCGUGGACUAC
rnacentral:misc_RNA from 1 species